rnacentral:rRNA from 1 species
GUACACACGUGCUACAAUGGCCGGUACAGAGGGAGGCGACCCGCAGGGGAGCGGAUCCCGAAAGCCGGUCGUAGUUCGGAUCGGGGUCUGGAACCCGACCCCGUGAAGCCGGAUUCGCUAGUAAUCGUGGAUCAGCAUGCCACGGUGAAUACGUUCCCGGGCCUU